rnacentral:rRNA from 1 species
CCUACGGGUGGCAGCAGUGAGGAAUAUUGGUCAAUGGACGCAAGUCUGAACCAGCCAUGCCGCGUGAAGGAAGACGGCUCUAUGAGUUGUAAACUGCUUUUGUCCGAGGGUAAACGCAGAUACGCGUAUCUGUCUGAAAGUACCGUACGAAUAAGGAUCGGCUAACUCCGUGCCAGCAGCCGCGGUAAUACGGAGGAUUCAAGCGUUAUCCGGAUUUAUUGGGUUUAAAGGGUGCGUAGGCGGUCGGAUAAGUUAGAGGUGAAAUCCCGGGGCUCAACUGCGGAAUUGCCUCUGAUACUGGUCGGCUAGAGAGUAGUUGAGGUAGGCGGAAUGCGUGGUGUAGCGGUGAAAUGCUUAGAGA